UUUCCUUUCCACAGGUUUUGAUAAAUCUCCCCCUAUGUGCACUGCCUUACAUUACCAUGUCCACAGACCCUUCGGUGUCUCUCUCCUGCCUAAAUAUGUAAAGUGUGUUUUAGAAUUUUUUCCAUGAUGUUGUAGCAGCUGUUUCCUUUUUUUGGGUCUAUAUUGCUAGUCAGAAAGUCAAAAGUAAGACCUGUAAUGGAUAACUGAGUGGCAGACUGAUCUGACAGCUCCCUUUUACAUCACUGGACUCUAGCUGUCAUUAUGGCAGUAAUAUAUAUAUGUGUAGGCAGCAAUCCCUAACCUAAAAGUGGAAAUCAGAGCAAUGACUCCACCUAGUAUUGUCUUGCACAUAAUUGCUCUGCAGCAUAAUGCAGUAUGAACCUGAACUUAUUCCUGAUUAAAUAUAUGAACUGUCUUUUACAGAGAAGAACAGAGAAAAACAAUUGCCAUGAUCUACGCACAGACAGACAUGGGCCCCAGACAUGAAGAUGAAGUGAAUGAAGUUAAAGUGUUCCCCACAGCUGGCCCCUGCCAUGUCACUUCAUGUGUUUUCCAGGUCUUACCAGCAGCAAGUUAAGGCAGCCGGAUCUAUUUUGCUUUGGGAAGAGUUAUGUUGAGAGUUGGAGGAUAAGACAUGACGUAACAGCAGAAUAGUGACUGCAGCUCUGGAGGAGACUGGAGAAUAAGACAUCAUAUAACAGCAGAGUAAUCAUACAUUUCAUGGAGAGAGAAACCAUGUGAGGAGUGAGACCUGGUGCCCUGGUAGGGUGCUUUAGAAUAUGCCUUAUUCUUGGUCUCUGAAGUCACAUCAUAGCAGUCAGAUGCAUAACCUUUGAUUCCAUAUCCCUUUGGUGCACUAUAAGCAAUCGCUUGUUAGACACUGGCCCCACAGAAAUAUUUUUUUAAGAAUCCAAUUGGUGGUAGAAAGAAAUUUCAAGGCCGAACAUUGUUGUAUUGUGCCCCUCUCAAUUAUGCCCUUGGCUAUUGACUGUUCUGCCAACCCUUUGAGCCAGCCUUGGAAGGGUAACAUUCAUAUACAGACCUAUGCAAUCAAGACUACGUGGACACAUUAUUGAAGGAUCUAUGUAAGUCCCUGUUCAUGCCACAUCUGGCAUCUAUGUCUGGCAAAUAUGUCAAGAAUUUCUAGUCCAGUUGUAUAUAACUACCAGUUGCAUGAAGUAAUUUUUUUGUAAUAUAUUAUUGCAAACAA